ensembl:snRNA U6 U6 spliceosomal RNA
GUGCUUGCUUCGGCAGCACUUAUACGAAAAUUAGAAUGAUACAGAGAAGAUUAGCAUGGCCCCUGUGCAAGGAUGACAUGCAAAUUUGUGAAACAUUCCAUAUUUUU